rnacentral:misc_RNA from 1 species
AUUACAUUUGUUACUGUCACAGAUUAGUGACUGGUACUUUAUUUUAUCAUUUUACAAUGUCCCAAAUUACUACAUAUUCAAUGGAAAUGAUGCUGGCAGCAUGGAGCUCAAGAAAACACAAAUUUAAACUCUUGAAAAGCAUAGAAUUAUGGUCUAGAUGUUGUAUAGUUUUAUAUUUAAGAUGUUCUUGGGUAAUUCCUGUUCCUUAAACGGUCUUAUAAUUGGGGAAAUUCUGUGGUUACUUUGCUCUUAAUGGACUGAAUCUUACUUUGUAGAUAACCACCAUUGAAUGAAUUAACAACAGUUCAUCUAAUGGUAAAUGUAAUAAAG